UACGUAGGGGGCUAGCGUUGUCCGGAAUCAUUGGGCGUAAAGAGCGUGUAGGCGGCCCGGUAAGUCCGCUGUAAAAGUCAAAGGCUCAACCUUUGAAUGUCAGCGGAUACUGCCAGGCUAGAGUCCGGAAGAGGCGAGUGGAACUCCUGGUGUAGCGGUGGAAUGCGUAGAGAUCCGGAAGAACACCGGAGGCGAAGGCGGCUUGCUGGGCGUGAUCUGACGCUGAGGCGCGAAAGCGUGGGGAGCGAACAGG
rnacentral:rRNA from 1 species